GGAAUGAGCUCCAGCUCAAGUUGCUUUUGCCAAAAGACGCUAGCAACCACAGCUAUAGGACUAAGUAGCCUGAUUUUAGCUUGUUAUCAACAAGAAGGAAAUGGCAUGACUUCUACGUAAUGGUCUGUCCUUCCUGUAGGACCAGUCCUCUAGUGUGGUUCAGCUGCAGUUGAAAAGCUGUGCAGCAGCAGGGAUGACACAGCAGGGAAAGGAGCCAACACUCAGAACUUCAUCAGCUCUCUGUCCAAAACACCAUUUUUCUCUCUGCCUCUGUGGGAUGCACCCCUGAGAAAGGCCCAGGUGAAUGGAUCUGUGUAUGUGGUUCAUGUUGUGAACUUAUGUCCAAGUAGUUAAACAGAAACAAAUCUUCAACUUUCCGUUGAAACAGAAUUUCAGCUUUAUGUGUCAUCUGCACUACUCGCUUUGCUUGACUGUGAAAAAGGUCUUACAGCUUCCUCUCCUGGGGCAGAUGUCAAGAGAAGAUGACUUGGUCAAAGCUGAAGACAAAGCAGCUGCCUUUCCCACUGAGGCUGAAAUGAAGGGGUGGAUGCUGCUCCUUGAUAACAGGAAUCUGAGCUUCAGGCCUUUUCAAAUGCAUGUAAAUGUCUCUCAGCUUUCUGAACAACAAUCUAAACAGAGAAAUAAGGAAAAACAUUAAACAGAGAAAUAAGGAAAAACAUUAAGUAGCAGAAGAACUGAGCAUGCUGUAACUUAUGAUUUCCUUUGAAAUUAUGUGGUACAUUUGCCAGCUAUGUCAAUACAGAUUCAGUUCAUAUCGUUAAUUUCUUAAUCCUGCAUCAAGCAGACAUGCCAAAACCAUCACAAAUUUAACAUUUGUAGCAGAAGACUGUGAUCUUAAAGCUAUGUAGAAGGCAAAAUGUUAAAUACAAGCAGGAAGUA